GAAUCUUCCAACACAAAAGUAAAAACAACUGUAUCAUCGCCGUCCUACACUUCAACGGUCCAGAUUUCUCCUCACCAUCCUCCGCCUUAUUUAUAUACUCUUCUCCCCUCCAGCUAAAAUAACAAAAUUCGGGAGUUCCAUUUUUGAAUAAAAAGAAAAAUGGGAAAUUGGAGAAGCAAAAAGCUUGAGAAAACCCCAAUUCUUGCGGUUUGCGUGCGCUAGGGUUUUUCUUGAUCUAGUUCACUGCUUCUUUUUUGUUCUUUGGAGUUUUCUCUGUGGUUUCUUUUGGCGUUUAGAUCUGAUCUGGAAUUGUGUUUGCUCGUUUGAUGGUUGGAUUUUGGAGCAGGAGUGGUUUAUUUUUCUGGAGUUUUGGUUUUAGGUUAUCGGGAUGAUUUCGUUGCAGAACGGACAUCGGGCUUCGCUUGGCGGCUCUGCUCACGAUGAUACUGGCUUCCGGGUGAAGCUUGAGCCGUCGUCUUCUUCGCUGAGUCUUGUUCCUUUUAAAGGCCGUGAUUCUAAUCAUGAAGUUGAUGAAGACACGCGCUUGUCCCUUGCCCAUCAAAUGUACAAGGCUGGCAACUAUAAACAGGCACUAGAGCAUAGCAAUACUGUUUAUGAGAGAAGUCCCAUGCGCACUGAUAAUCUUCUUCUUUUGGGUGCUAUUUAUUAUCAGUUGCAUGAUUAUGAUAUGUGCAUUGCAAAAAAUGAGGAAGCUCUUCGACUUGAGCCACGUUUUGCUGAGUGUUAUGGAAACAUGGCAAAUGCUUGGAAGGAAAAGGGUGAUAUUGAUCUUGCAAUUCGUUACUAUUUGGUUGCCAUUGAGCUGCGACCCAACUUUGCUGAUGCUUGGUCAAACUUGGCUAGUGCAUACAUGCGAAAAGGAAGGCUUAAUGAGGCAGCACAGUGUUGUCGCCAAGCGCUUGCAUUGAAUCCUCUAUUGGUAUAUUUUUUCCUGUUAGAUAAUGAUCAUCUCUAUUGUGCCAUAAUGAUAUUAUUAUGAUCAUCUAUUGAUGCUCUAGUUAGUUAUCACUUGGAUGGCUCAAAUGAUCAGAAAAUUCGGGAUUCUAUUUUUCUUGUUAGUUGCAUGGUUUGAAUGAGAAUCCCUAAUGACUUCCCCAACAAUUGGAAUGUAGGUUGAUGCUCAUAGCAACCUUGGUAAUCUAAUGAAAGCACAAGGAUUGUUGCAAGAAGUAAGUAUCAAUAAAUAAAUGCUGCAUGUUGUCUAGUUCCUAUUAACUUGUUCAUAAUGUUUAGCGGAAUGUAAAUUUUCUGGGCUAUGGGGUUUUGGUUACUUCCAGUUUUGAUCUUCAGCUAUAAUACCCAAUGCUAGGAUUAGGAUAUUGUCAGAUCACUUCCCCAUGCAAUCAUGGUGGAGGAAGUGGCUUAUUGGCAACUUGGCAUCCCAGUUUGAGUUAAUCCACAACUGUGUGCACCUGGCUCAAAUUCUUAUCCUUUCUGAUCUGAUAGAAGGAAGACACCCUUUCCAUAUGUAGAUUUUAGUAGUGUGCAUCUCUCCUUUUCUGAUGAAGUUACUGAUAUACAUACUUCAUGUGUGGAACUGUCUUAAAUCACAGUUCGAUACAGAUAUCAAGUUGUUAUCUUCAGGCCAGGGCUCAGAUGAUGGUUGGUCUUGUUGUAACUUCCAUGUGCAAGACUCCAAAUUGUCAGAAUCUAAUGUUUUGUGCAGGCAUACAGUUGCUAUCUUGAGGCUUUACGCAUACAACCAACAUUUGCUAUUGCGUGGUCAAAUCUUGCUGGUCUCUUUUUGGAGUCUGGUGAUCUUAAUAGAGCCCUUCAAUAUUAUAAGGAAGCUGUAAAACUCAAGCCCAUGUUUCCUGAUGCCUAUCUAAAUCUUGGAAAUGUUUAUAGGGCCUUGGGAAUGCCCCAAGAGGCUAUUGUGUGCUACCAGCAAGCUGUUCAGACACGGCCGAACUAUUCAGUCGCUUAUGGAAAUUUGGCCAGCACUUAUUAUGAACGAGGCCAACUGGAUUUGGCAAUUCUUCAUUAUAAGCAAGCCAUAGCCUGUGAUGGAAGGUUUUUGGAGGCUUACAAUAAUUUGGGUAAUGCACUGAAAGAUGUGGGUAGAGUGGAUGAAGCAAUCCAAUGCUAUAAUCAAUGCCUUGCAUUACAACCGACCCACCCACAAGCACUCACCAACCUUGGGAACAUAUAUAUGGAAUGGAAUAUGGCAUCAACUGCUGCUUCAUAUUAUAAGGCUACAUUGGCUGUUACAACAGGACUGUCUGCUCCUUUCAACAAUCUUGCUGUAAUCUAUAAACAACAGGGAAAUUAUGCAGAUGCCAUAUCUUGCUACAAUGAGGUUCUUCGCAUUGAUCCCUUGGCAGCCGAUGGACUCGUAAACAGGGGCAACACUUAUAAGGAGAUUGGUAGAGUGAGUGAAGCAAUUCAGGACUACAUACGUGCUAUCACUAUCCGACCAAAUAUGGCUGAAGCUCAUGCAAAUUUGGCUUCAGCUUAUAAGGACAGUGGUCACGUGGAGGCUGCUGUAAAGAGCUAUAAGCAGGCUUUGCUUCUUCGACCAGACUUUCCUGAAGCGACUUGCAACCUUCUGCAUACAUUACAGUGCGUCUGCAGUUGGGAGGAUCGCGCUAAGAUGUUCACUGAAGUUGAAGGGAUUAUACGGAGGCAAAUUACUAUGUCCGUCCUUCCUAGCGUGCAGCCUUUUCAUGCUAUCGCGUAUCCCAUUGAUCCAAUGCUGGCACUUGAUAUCAGCCGCAAGUAUGCAGCUCAUUGCUCCAUGAUUGCAUCGCGUUUUGGACUUCCUCCUUUCAGUCAUCCUCCUCCAUUGCCAAUAAAGGGUGGUAGCCGGAGUGGUCGGCUUAGGGUUGGAUAUGUGAGUAGUGAUUUUGGCAACCACCCACUAUCACAUCUAAUGGGUUCAGUCUUUGGCAUGCACGAUAGAGAAAAUGUUGAGGUGUUCUGCUACGCUUUGAGUCCAAAUGAUGGCACUGAGUGGAGGCUCCGCAUUCAGUCAGAAGCAGAGCAUUUUGUUGAUGUAUCGUCCUUGGCAUCUGAUGUGAUAGCUAGGAUGAUUAAUGAGGAUCAAAUACAGAUCCUAAUCAAUCUUAACGGUUAUACUAAGGGGGCCCGAAAUGAGAUCUUUGCAAUGCAGCCUGCUCCUAUCCAGGUUUCGUAUAUGGGGUUUCCUGGAACCACUGGAGCUAACUAUAUACAUUAUUUGGUUACAGAUGAGUUUGUGUCACCUACGCGGUACUCACAUAUUUACUCAGAGAAGCUUGUCCAUCUCCCUCAUUGUUAUUUUGUCAAUGAUUAUAAGCAAAAAAACCGUGACGCGUUAGAUCCAAGCUGUCAACCCAGGCGCUCAGAUUAUGGGCUGCCAGAGGACAAAUUCAUUUUUGCUUGUUUUAAUCAGCUCUACAAGAUGGAUCCUGAGAUAUUUAAGACAUGGUGCAAUAUUCUUAAGCGUGUACCAAACAGUGCUCUUUGGCUGCUCAGAUUUCCAGCUGCAGGGGAAACAAGGGUUCGCGCACAUGCUGCCGCACAAGGUGUGCAGCCGGAUCAAAUUAUUUUCACAGAUGUUGCGAUGAAACAAGAGCACAUCAGACGCAGCUCCUUGGCUGAUCUUUGUCUUGACACACCACUGUGCAAUGCACAUACCACUGGAACAGAUGUACUUUGGGCUGGUCUUCCGAUGGUCACCCUUCCCCUUGAGAAAAUGGCAACUAGAGUGGCUGGUUCGUUGUGUUUGGCCACAGGGGUUGGUGAGGAGAUGGUUGUUAGCAGUAUGAAGGAGUAUGAAGAGAAGGCAGUGUCACUGGCACUGAAUCGUCCCAAGCUCCAAGAUCUCACCAAGAAACUCAAGGCUGUUCGCCUGAGUUGCCCUCUGUUUGACACAGGGCGCUGGGUACGGAAUCUGGAGCGGUCUUAUUUUAAGAUGUGGAAUCUCUAUUGCUCUGGCCAACAUCCUCAACCGUUUAAAGUGACUGAGAACGACAUGGAAUUUCCUUAUGACCGGUAGAUGUAAAAACAGUAAUAUAAACGGGAUUGUAGAUAAUACUUAGAAUGUGAAGAGCUAUUUAUUCUAAAGGUUGACUAGGUGUCUCUCUGUUCGUAAUGGUAUUUAACGGUGAGUUUCUAUCUUAUAUUGUACUGUUUCUCCGCUUUGCUCCCUUGGUUACUCGAAUCAUAACGUCAAGGCUGGAGGUGGAGGUUGCUAACACUUGAACAAACCUCUCGUCCUAUCGUAUCUUGUGAUGUUGAGUUAUUCGUCGUAAGUAAAGUAUCUGAAAAACUCCAGUUUGCCGUUCUUCCAAGGUAAAACCACAGUUACCUGACUGCAAGUAUGUCCUUUUACAUAGAAAAACCCAUUAGUGAAGCAACUGCAGAAUGGUUACAAGAGAAUAAUCAGCCAUAUCCACUUGGAUAUUUAGUUUGCAUUUCUGUGGCGAAGGCAAAUGAUUCAUCUUUGAUUGUAUUUGUUAACAUCUAUAAGCAUUUAUUAAUGUUUGCAAUUUGACUUUUUGCAGGCCUUAAGCUGAAGGAUGACCCUAGUAAAAUCAUUGAACGAUUUGUACUAGAGUUUUUUUAUUCCCUACACUCAAAUACGAAGCCUCUGGUUAACGAUGUGGUAGGGUUUUUAAUACCAAGCAUUUUCAUCCUUUGGUACCAAUAAGGCCAUAGAAUUAUAGAGUGGAUACACAAAGAUAUAGAAC
rnacentral:misc_RNA from 1 species